rnacentral:misc_RNA from 1 species
UUUCCGUAGGUGAACCUGCGGAAGGAUCAUUCAUAAUAAGUGUUUUAUGGCACUUUUUUAAAUCCAUAUCCACCUUGUGUGCAAUGUCAGGGUUGAUUUUGCUCUCGAGAGGAUCAGCCCCAAACAUCAACUAUAUCUCAACUCUUUGUCUGAAAAAUAUUAUGAAUAAAACAAUUCAAAAUACAACUUUCAACAACGGAUCUCUUGGCUCUC